rnacentral:tRNA from 1 species
GGGCGGGUAGCUCAACUGGCAGAGCGGUGGACCCUUAAUCCGCUGGCUGUGGGUUCGAUCCCCACCUCGCUCACCA